rnacentral:tRNA from 1 species
GGGUUUGUGGCUCAGUGGUAGAGUGCUUGUCUAGAAUGCACAAGGCACUGAGUUUGAUUCUCAGCACCA